UAACUUCGGGAAACCGAAGCUAAUACCGGAUAAUAAAGAGAAACUCCUGUUUCUUUUUUGAAAGUCGGUUUCGGCUGACGCUUACAGAUGGGCCCGCGGCGCAUUAGCUAGUUGGUGAGGUAACGGCUCACCAAGGCCACGAUGCGUAGCCGACCUGAGAGGGUGAUCGGCCACACUGGGACUGAGACACGGCCCAGACUCCUACGGGAGGCAGCAGUAGGGAAUCUUCGGCAAUGGACGAAAGUCUGACCGAGCAACGCCGCGUGAGCGAUGAAGGCCUUCGGGUCGUAAAGCUCUGUUGUCAGAGAAGAACAAGUACCGGAGUAACUGCCGGUACCUUGACGGUACCUGACCAGAAAGCCACGGCUAACUACGUGCCAGCAGCCGCGGUAAUACGUAGGUGGCAAGCGUUAUCCGGAAUUAUUGGGCGUAAAGCGCGCGCAGGCGGUUCCUUAAGUCUGAUGUGAAAGCCCACGGCUCAACCGUGGAGGGUCAUUGGAAACUGGGGAACUUGAGUGCAGGAGAGAAAAGUGGAAUUCCACGUGUAGCCGGUGAAAUGCGUAAAGAUGUGGAGGAACACCAGUGGCGAAGGCGGCUUUUUGGCCUGUAACUGACGCUGAGGCGCGAAAGCGUGGGGAGCAAACAGGAUUAGAUACCCUGGUAGUCCACGCCGUAAACGAUGAGUGCUAGGUGUUGGGGGGUUCCACCCUCAGUGCUGACGUUAACACAUUAAGCACUCCGCCUGGGGAGUACGGCCGCAAGGCUGAAACUCAAAGGAAUUGACGGGGGCCCGCACAAGCAGUGGAGCAUGUGGUUUAAUUCGAAGCAACGCGAAGAACCUUACCAGGUCUUGACAUCCUCUGACCACUCUAGAGAUAGAGCUUUCCCCUUCGGGGGACAGAGUGACAGGUGGUGCAUGGUUGUCGUCAGCUCGUGUCGUGAGAUGUUGGGUUAAGUCCCGCAACGAGCGCAACCCUUGACCUUAGUUGCCAGCAUUCAGUUGGGCACUCUAAGGUGACUGCCGGUGACAAACCGGAGGAAGGUGGGGAUGACGUCAAAUCAUCAUGCCCCUUAUGACCUGGGCUACACACGUGCUACAAUGGGUGGUACAAAGGGUUGCAAAGCCGCGAGGCCGAGCCAAUCCCAAAAAGCCACUCUCA
rnacentral:rRNA from 1 species